UGAUGAAAAUAGUAGAUACAAAAAUUACAAAAAUAAAUAUAAUAAUCAGAGAGAGACAGAGAGGAACUUACAAGAAGCUGCGACAACGACGUGCUAUGGCGACGGGCUCACAGCGACUGCAACCGACAAAGACGUUGCAAUGACAUGUCUAUGGAAGAAGAAGAACUUACAUGCAGAUUCACAAAUCACAAUAAGAAGGAGCAACUCUGCUCUCAGGCGGAGGACGGCGGGUUUUCUCAGGAGUUGGAGAAGA